rnacentral:tmRNA from 1 species
GGGGACGACAGGCUUCGACGGGGGUCGAGGAGCUAGGAAUAGCAUGUCGAGGUUUUUUCAGGUCCUCGUAAAACAACUGAAAGCAAAAUGUAAACGCAGAUAACUAUGCGUAUGCUUUGGCUGCCUAAUUAAAUUAGGUAGCCCGUUCGUUUAGACCUGGCCACGGGGUCUAAAUUGAACGUCGAUGAAUGUGGCUAUGUUGUCAGUCUUGCCUGAGGACUGAUAAUGAACCAUUUCAGGCUGGCUUCUGCGGGUUUUGUUUGUUGAACCUGCAAAAGUGAGAUUCAAUCAACAAACUAAGCAUGUAGAAUUUCUUAGUGACUGUCCUCCGGACGUGGGUUCGAUUCCCACCGUCUCCACAA